UACCUUACAUGAACUUUUAGAAUCCAAUCUCAUGUUGAUUCACAAGCUACUGCCUACUCCCAUUGGGAUGAACCUUACUUUGGUAAAGCAACCAUUACUUCAUCAAGAUCUAAUAGAGAUCCUAGGAAAAAUCAAGGAGAAUGGACAGAGAACUCUGUCCUGAAGACUCCACGACGACACCAUGGAACCCUGCUGAUGAAGAUCUUUCGAGGGCAAUCGUCAGUCACGGGGUGGUGUAAGAGCCCGUCUGAAGCCCCUCAUUUUCCGUUCUGCCUUCCGAUUGCCACGAGAAAGAAUCCCUUCCUCCACUGCAGUUCCGGCUUAGAACAGGACACAGUGCAGGUGCAACCACUGAACCGUCAUGCUAGCUGUUCCGAACAAGGCCUGGCAAGAACUCGGCAAGGACUUGGCAAGGACUUGGCAAAGACCUGACGUGGACCCAGCACGGGACAGCCUGAUGCGCGGCCUGCUUCUAAUCUCCGUUCUUAAGCCAAAUGAACUUUUGGGGUGACUCCCGGGGUCCUUCAUUGAAGACCCCUCAUCUGCCUCGUUACCACUGUGACAAACAAAGAAUGAGAACCCUCCUCCCAAGGACUGAGACUGAGACCCCUGCUACAGGGAGGAGGGGAAAUUGGUGGUCUGACCACUAAUGACAUGACCUGUUUCCCUUCAGUGAUUCAAAUGGACUCAUUCUUCAUUGGAUUCGUCUUGCUUUGGUGGUUUCUGUGGACUCAGCUGUUCCCGCGUGGCGAUUACAAUGGACUUUCGUUGUUCCACUUGCUCCCCCCUCUUUCCUCUGUGGACUAUAACUGGAGCCCCGAGUCGACCAGAACUACGGAGACUCCCCCGACACGACAGACGGAUCCCCAUCGUCCGGACCACUGAGGAUCUCGCCUGUGUUGGUAGCUAUUCCCAUACCCCUCUUCUCUCUCUCUCUCUCCUUUUAUCUCCUUUCCGAUCCCCACUAUCGCAUUUACUGGUUUGGCCCCUAAUAAAGGUGCAUUUGUUGUGAUUAA